AUACUCCUGACUGACCGAUAGUGAACCAGUACCGUGAGGGAAAGGCGAAAAGAACCCCGGCGAGGGGAGUGAAAAAGAACCUGAAACCGUGUACGUACAAGCAGUGGGAGCACGCUUAGGCGUGUGACUGCGUACCUUUUGUAUAAUGGGUCAGCGACUUAUAUUCUGUAGCAAGGUUAACCGAAUAGGGGAGCCGAAGGGAAACCGAGUCUUAACUGGGCGUUAAGUUGCAGGGUAUAGACCCGAAACCCGGUGAUCUAGCCAUGGGCAGGUUGAAGGUUGGGUAACACUAACUGGAGGACCGAACCGACUAAUGUUGAAAAAUUAGCGGAUGACUUGUGGCUGGGGGUGAAAGGCCAAUCAAACCGGGAGAUAGCUGGUUCUCCCCGAAAGCUAUUUAGGUAGCGCCUCGUGAAUUCAUCUCCGGGGGUAGAGCACUGUUUCGGCAAGGGGGUCAUCCCGACUUACCAACCCGAUGCAAACUGCGAAUACCGGAGAAUGUUAUCACGGGAGACACACGGCGGGUGCUAACGUCCGUCGUGAAGAGGGAAACAACCCAGACCGCCAGCUAAGGUCCCAAAGUCAUGGUUAAGUGGGAAACGAUGUGGGAAGGCCCAGACAGCCAGGAUGUUGGCUUAGAAGCAGCCAUCAUUUAAAGAAAGCGUAAUAGCUCACUGGUCGAGUCGGCCUGCGCGGAAGAUGUAACGGGGCUAAACCAUGCACCGAAGCUGCGGCAGCGACGCUGAUGCGUUGUUGGGUAGGGGAGCGUUCUGUAAGCCUGUGAAGGUGUGCUGUGAGGCAUGCUGGAGGUAUCAGAAGUGCGAAUGCUGACAUAAGUAACGAUAAAGCGGGUGAAAAGCCCGCUCGCCGGAAGACCAAGGGUUCCUGUCCAACGUUAAUCGGGGCAGGGUGAGUCGACCCCUAAGGCGAGGCCGAAAGGCGUAGUCGAUGGGAAACAGGUUAAUAUUCCUGUACUUGGUGUUACUGCGAAGGGGGGACGGAGAAGGCUAUGUUGGCCGGGCGACGGUUGUCCCGGUUUAAGCGUGUAGGCUGGUUUUCCAGGCAAAUCCGGAAAAUCAAGGCUGAGGCGUGAUGACGAGGCACUACGGUGCUGAAGCAACAAAUGCCCUGCUUCCAGGAAAAGCCUCUAAGCAUCAGGUAACAUCAAAUCGUACCCCAAACCGACACAGGUGGUCAGGUAGAGAAUACCAAGGCGCUUGAGAGAACUCGGGUGAAGGAACUAGGCAAAAUGGUGCCGUAACUUCGGGAGAAGGCACGCUGAUAUGUAGGUGAAGCGACUUGCUCGUGGAGCUGAAAUCAGUCGAAGAUACCAGCUGGCUGCAACUGUUUAUUAAAAACACAGCACUGUGCAAACACGAAAGUGGACGUAUACGGUGUGACGCCUGCCCGGUGCCGGAAGGUUAAUUGAUGGGGUCAGCGCAAGCGAAGCUCUUGAUCGAAGCCCCGGUAAACGGCGGCCGUAACUAUAACGGUCCUAAGGUAGCGAAAUUCCUUGUCGGGUAAGUUCCGACCUGCACGAAUGGCGUAAUGAUGGCCAGGCUGUCUCCACCCGAGACUCAGUGAAAUUGAACUCGCUGUGAAGAUGCAGUGUACCCGCGGCAAGACGGAAAGACCCCGUGAACCUUUACUAUAGCUUGACACUGAACAUUGAGCCUUGAUGUGUAGGAUAGGUGGGAGGCUUUGAAGUGUGG
rnacentral:rRNA from 1 species